rnacentral:tRNA from 1 species
GUUUAAUUAGUAUAAAGAGUAUAUAGACUUCCAAUCUUUAGGUCUAAAUUUAGAUUAAACA